GUUUGAUCCUGGCUCAGGAUGAACGCUAGCGGCAGGCCUAACACAUGCAAGUCGAACGGUAACAUGAGAGCUUGCUCUUGAUGACGAGUGGCGCACGGGUGCGUAACGCGUAUACAAUCUACCUUUUACAGGAGGAUAGCCUUUAGAAAUGAAGAUUAAUACUCCAUAGUAUUAUUGAUUGGCAUCAAUUAAUAAUUAAAGCUUCGGUGGUAAAAGAUGAGUAUGCGUUCUAUUAGCUAGAUGGUGUGGUAACGGCACACCAUGGCAACGAUAGAUAGGGGCCCUGAGAGGGGGAUCCCCCACACUGGUACUGAGACACGGACCAGACUCCUACGGGAGGCAGCAGUGAGGAAUAUUGGACAAUGGAGGCAACUCUGAUCCAGCCAUGCCGCGUGCAGGAAGACUGCCCUAUGGGUUGUAAACUGCUUUUAUACAGGAAGAAACCUCCCGACGUGUCGGGAUCUGACGGUACUGUAAGAAUAAGGAUCGGCUAACUCCGUGCCAGCAGCCGCGGUAAUAAGGGCGAAU
rnacentral:rRNA from 1 species